rnacentral:lncRNA from 1 species
AAACCUUCAAAAACAGCUCUCCCCCUUCCCAGACGUCCGGCCUAGGUCCGGCCAUCGGUCAUCGCGCCUGCUGUAGUAUGCGGUGGCCGAAAAAUGAGGAAAUUUCCUAGUUGGCCCUCUCGAUCCUUCCAAGCCCAGAUCUGGGUUCAAACUUUCCAAAAAACCAACAAAAAAACGCGAAGUGAUCCCGAAACCCUUCGGUUUCUGGCCACCAAUCCUCGGGGGUGGUUCCCUCAACCGACCACGGCGGCUCUGACUCGAACGAAGGUAGUUUCUUUCCCUCCCUUUUUUUAUCUUAUAUUAUUCGCUUAUAUAAAUAAAAAAUAAAUAUAACAAAUAAAAAAUAACUAUUGCAAAUAUCAACCUUUUCGAUUGAUUUGCUCUCCGUAUUCAACUCUCGGUUUGCUGUGGAAAUGCCCCCUUUUUAUUGAUUUUUCGAUCCCUUUUUACAGUAUAUUCAUGGCUUUUUUAUAGCCGAAGUAAAACACUAAGUAAAUCUGUUUUAGCGAUUUGAUUCGUAAUUUUUUGAUUCUUUUUUCCAUAUCUGUUUGAUUUCUUUCCUUGUUGUGCAGGUGAAGGCGUGCGGCUCAUGUGGGGUUUGGUUGCGGCGCGAGUUCACCCCUGAAACCCUAGAGUUUCUUGAAUCUAUUUUGGGCCACUGUAUUUGGGCCUUUGUUUUAUAUUGGUUUGGGCUCUUAUUGGCCUGUCUAUAAUUCGGGCAUUUUACCUGGGCCAAAAUAGGGUAUUACAGAUAUCAAUGAUGUGUACGAAUAAUAAUUGUUGACACCAUUUUUUGGAUGAAAACGAGGUCGACUUGGGUU